CUUUCACCUCCUUGGUUAAGUAUAUUACUAGGUGUUUUAUUUCUUUGCAGCUGCUGUGAAAGGGGUUCAGUUCUUCUCAACUUGGUUGUUUUUGAUGUACAGCAGUGCUACUGAUUUGUGUAAAUUGAUUUUGUAACCUGAGACUUUACUGAACUCCUUUAUCAAAUCUAGGAGUCUUUAGGGUUUUCUAGGUAUACAAUUAUACCAUUGGUAAACAGUAGUAGUUUGACUUCCUUUUUUCUUAUUUGGAAACCCUAUAUUUUCUUCUCUUUCCUGAUUGCUCUGGCUAGGACUUCCAUUACUAUGUUGAACAGAAGUGGUGAAAGUGGGCAUCCUUGUCUUGUUCCAGUACUCAGGGGGAAAGCUUUCAACUUUUCUCCAUUCACUAUGAUGUUGGCUGUGGGUUUGUCAUAGAUGGCUUUGAUUCAUUUGAGAUUUAAAAUUUUGGAUUUUCUGCUUUUCUUGAAGAGCUAGAUGAUAGAGCAAGACAGUCUACAUUUAUUUCAUGUCUGAAAGGCUGGAAAAGAGAUCAUGUUCCCCACCAUCUUCACCUGAUCAUAUCCUUUAUUGUCCAGAGCACAUCUGACAGAACACCCACCUUGCAAUGAACUAAAAUCAUCACCUGUGUGCCUUGCAUCUGCUCCAUUCUAGGUGGGUUCUCCUAUCAUUUGUAGCUGAGUAUAGCCUGGGUAGAAUAAAUCCCCUAAUUCAGUUGUCUGCCUGGGGAAAAAGAAAAAAAAAACAGUGAAUGGGUAGAGAGAAGUAGAGAAUUAUUAUUUUUUUCCCCUAGUGGCUUGGUCUGGAAAAGAAGAUAAAGUAAUAGAAUUGGAAGGCGGGGAGGAGGAGCAAAAACUGGGAUGGGAUCCAGAGAAGGCUCUGCUUUAUUUGUUUGCUUUUUAAAUUUUUUAACAAUGGAAGAAAUAAAUUUGAAAGGAGCUUUUAUUGUUUCUAAGAGUCUGAAGUCUGUAGAAAUCAGAAGCCUGUCUCCAAGUAUAUCUACUAUGUGGUUGCUAGGGAGGCCGUAAAGUUCUCUGUGACCAGGGAAAAGAACAUUCAAGAUACAGGUAGAGAGGCUAUACCAUGGGUGUAUGGAAGAGUUAUUUGGAAGUAAACAGCAUUUGGAAGGGUUCUUCAAUAUUACAUUAGGAAGGUUUAAGAAUACUGAAGGUGGCAGAGUCAUUUUGAGGCACAGGUAAAAUUAGAGGUGAGUUGAAAUGUCGAUCGGCUCUGGAGUACCCAUCUGUAUCCUAUCCUCUGCUCUCUGCCUCGACCCCAAACCCAUGUCUUGUGACUCAUCCCGAAAGAUCCCCUUGCUGAGCUGUUGAGAUCUUUCAGGCCCCUCCAGCCUUGACAUCCUGUUAUCUUGAAGAUCAUAUGCAGAAGUUAAAAAUAGACAUGAUUAGGGGUCCUGGCUAUAUGUGGUUCUUUUUGGGCAACCCAUAGACUUUUAUGCCCUGCGACUUCUUGUUGGUUUAGAUUUGUUUUAAAAUUU
rnacentral:lncRNA from 1 species